rnacentral:rRNA from 1 species
CGAGUGGCGGACGGGUGAGGAAUACAUCGGAAUCUACUCUGUCGUGGGGGAUAACGUAGGGAAACUUACGCUAAUACCGCAUACGACCUACGGGUGAAAGCAGGGGAUCUUCGGACCUUGCGCGAUUGAAUGAGCCGAUGUCGGAUUAGCUAGUUGGCGGGGUAAAGGCCCACCAAGGCGACGAUCCGUAACUGGUCUGAGAGGAUGAUCAGUCACACUGGAACUGAGACACGGUCCAGACUCCUACGGGAGGCAGCAGGA